GGAGGUUGAAGCACUCCUGCUACUGGAAAGGUUCAUAUGGCUCUAGCAGCCAUGUAAGUUUUCUUUGUGCUGUUCUCCAUCUCUCUUCUUGAAGGAAGCAUCUAAGAGCAGGAUAGGCAGGCAGUCUCUGGAAAUGCAAAUAUGCGGUUUGGUGCAGCAUGGGCUUGCAAGGAGGAGGAAGAGAUGCGUAGGAGGGCUUUUUACUACUGCUUGAUUUCAUGCUGCCGAUGGUAAUUAGCAGAGGAAGGUCUCAGGUUCAAAUUUAGCCCAGGGUGUUUGCUGGAUACUGUUGGAUGUUGGAUUUCAUAUUACAGUAGCAAUGAGAGACCCUAUCCGGGAUGAGGACACAAGGUGUGGUUCUCAUGGCUGGAGACUUGCACCCACCCUCUGACUUUUCCUGCUCCUCCUCAGCAGCUCCAGUCAGGCAUUAGCUGGGCUGACCUGAAAGGCCACGGUUGUUCUCCUCGGCUUAGAUUGGGUCCCCAGUCUCUAACACCAAGCACUGUGAUCAGGU